rnacentral:rRNA from 1 species
CUAAGAAUAUUCCGCAAUGGGAGCAAUCCUGACGGAGCGACGCCGCGUGAAGGAUGAAGGCAGAAAUGUUGUAAACUUCUUUUAUAGGGGAAGAAUAAGACUUUUUUGGUCGAUGACGGUACCCUAUGAAUAAGCUCCGGCUAACUACGUGCCAGCAGCCGCGGUAAUACGUAGGGGGCUAGCGUUGUUCGGAUUUAUUGGGCGUAAAGAGCAUGUAGGCUGUUAUGUAAGUGUGGAUUUAAAGGCUAAGGCUUAACCUUAGUAUGGUCUGCAAACUGCGUAACUAGAGUUUAGGAUGGGAAACUGGAAUUCCACGUGUAGGGGUGAAAUCUGUAGAGAUGUGGAAGAAUACCAGCGGCGAAGGCGAGUUUCUGGUCUAAUACUGACGCUGAGAUGCGAAAGUGUGGGUAGCAAACAGGAUUAGAUACCCCCGUAGUCC